rnacentral:lncRNA from 1 species
CCGGUAAAAGAUAUGCACAUAUAAAUAACAUCAGAAUUAACAACAACUUUUUCAAGUAACACCAAAUAACAAUCUUGAUGGAAAAUCUUUAAAUCCAUCAAAUGUUAAACAUAGAGAAAAAAAAAGAUUGAAUCUGAUCCUGUUUCAGAAUAAUCACUGUCGGACACCGACAACUAACACCGACUCUGAAUCAUUCACCAAAAAACGUAAUUAUUAUUGUUUGCAUUACAGAUCUGACUCAGGUCACCCAACGAAAAUGCAGAUCUGCCACUGAAAUGAAAAGAGGGGAUACUUUCAGAGGGAAGAUGAUGAAAAGAGUUGAGAAAAUGAAGAUGAAAUACAUGUUAGGGUUCAGAGCAAAGUGAUGAAUUUUUUUUGAAGGAAAGAUAGAAGAGAGAGAAAAGUGUAUAUAAAAUGAAACGAAUCAGCUUAUGUGUUGGAAGAAGGGAAUAUUGGAAAAGAAAUCAGCCCAUGUGUUAGAAAAAAUAGCAGACGUGGAGGCAUAAGAAGGCAACAUGGCAUAUGGAUAAUUUAGAGAACAUAAGUUCUUCUUAUAUGAUAGAUAUUUAAAAAUAU